rnacentral:rRNA from 1 species
UACGGAGGGGGCAAGCGUUGUUCGGAAUUAUUGGGCGUAAAGGGCGCGUAGGUGGUUCUGUAUGUCUACCGUGAAAGCGUACGGCUCAACCGUAUUUUGUCGGUGGAAACUGCAGGACUUGAGGCUGGGAGGGGCUGGUGGAAUUCCCUGUGUAGCGGUGAAAUGCGUAGAGAUGGGGGAGAACACUCGUGGCGAAGGCGGCCAGCUAGACCAGUUCUGACACUGAGGCGCGACAGCGUGGGGAGCAAACAGG